rnacentral:rRNA from 1 species
CUCCUGGAAAACGGGUGGUAAUGCCGGAUGCUCCAUCACACCGCAUGGUGUGUUGGGAAAGCCUUUGCGGCAUGGGAUGGGGUCGCGUCCUAUCAGCUUGAUGGCGGGGUAACGGCCCACCAUGGCUUCGACGGGUAGCCGGCCUGAGAGGGCGACCGGCCACAUUGGGACUGAGAUACGGCCCAGACUCCUACGGGAGGCAGCAGUGGGGAAUAUUGCACAAUGGGCGCAAGCCUGAUGCAGCGACGCCGCGUGAGGGAUGGAGGCCUUCGGGUUGUAAACCUCUUUUGUUAGGGAGCAAGGCACUUUGUGUUGAGUGUACCUUUCGAAUAAGCACCGGCUAACUACGUGCCAGCAGCCGCGGUAAUACGUAGGGUGCAAGCGUUAUCCGGAAUUAUUGGGCGUAAAGGGCUCGUAGGCGGUUCGUCGCGUCCGGUGUGAAAGUCCAUCGCUUAACGGUGGAUCCGCGCCGGGUACGGGCGGGCUUGAGUGCGGUAGGGGAGACUGGAAUUCCCGGUGUAACGGUGGAAUGUGUAGAUAUCG